rnacentral:misc_RNA from 1 species
AUGCAGUUAUACAGGACAUCAGUUUCAGUGAUGACAGCAACUGGAUUAUGGUAAGUUCCUCAAGGGGGACAAGCCAUUUAUUUGCUAUUAAUCCAUUUGGAGGAUCAGUGAACUUCCAAACUUCAGAUGCUAGUUACACCACUAAAAAUAAUGGAUUUGGUGUAAUGACUAAGUCAGCUGUUCGUUGGCCGCCCAAUUUAGGUUUACUAAUGCACAAUCAACAGAGCAUUUGUGCAACUGGUCCCCCAGUAACACUCUCAGUUGUCAGCAGAAUAAGGAACGGAAAUAAUGGCUGGAGAGGUACUGUAACUGGUGCUGCAGCGG